rnacentral:lncRNA from 1 species
UGAGGAUCAACUUGCAGACAUUUUGACUAAAGCCCUUAAUGUCACAAGGUUCGAAUGUCUAAGAAGGAAGCUAGGUGUUUGCUCCAUGCAAACCAAGGAGGAGUAUUGAAGCAAUGGUUAGCAUGUAGCAAUCACAUGUUUUAUUAUUAUUAUUAUUAUUAUUAUUAUUAUUAUUUGGAUGUAAUGAUGUAACUUAGUUGUAUUCCAACUAAGUUUGUUAGUGGUAGUAGGUGGUGAUUUAUUUUAAGUGGAUGUAAUGAUGAAACUUAGUUGUAUUCCAACUAAGUUUGUUAGUGGUAAUAGGUGGUGAUUUAUUUUAAGUGGAUGUAAUGAUGAAACUUAGUUGUAU